rnacentral:rRNA from 1 species
GACGAACGCUGGCGGCGUGCCUAAUACAUGCAAGUCGAGCGAACAGACGAGGAGCUUGCUCCUUUGACGUUAGCGGCGGAGGGGAGAGUAACAUGUGGAUAACCUACCUAUAAGACUGGGAUAAUUACGGGAAACCGGAGCUAAUAGCGGAGAAGAUAUUGAACCGUAUGGUUCAAUAGUGAAAUUCGGUUUUGCUGGAAGGAAUAGAGGGAUCCGCGCCGCAUGAGCUGGUUGGGAAGUUAACGGGUUAUCAAGGCGACCAUGCGUAUCCGAGCUGAGAGGGUGGUCGGCCACACUGGAACUUAGACACGGACCAUACUCCUGCGGGAGGCAGCAGUAUGGUAUCUUACGCAAUGGGCGAGAACAUGACGGAGCAGCGCCGCGUGAGUGAUGAAGAUCUUCGGAUCGUAAAGCUCUGUUAUUAGGGAAAAACAACUGUGUAAGUAACUAUGCCGGUCUUGACGGUACCUAGUCAAGAAGCCACGGCUAACUACGUG